rnacentral:sRNA from 1 species
GCUGGGUGUGGUGGCGCAUGCCUGUAAUCCUAGCAGCUCAGGAGGCUGAGACAGGAGGAUUACGAGUUCAAAGCCAACCUCCACAAAAAGUGAGGCACUUAGCAACAGGGUCAGUGAGACCCUGUCUCUA